UUUCCCUCAGGAUAGCUGGCACUCGCUUCUAGCGAGUCUCAUCUGGUAAAGCGAAUGAUUAGAGGCCUUGGGGCCGAAACGACCUCAACCUAUUCUCAAACUUUAAAUGGGUGAGAUCUCUGGCUUGCUUGAACGUUGAAGCCACGAGAUUGCGGCUCUCGCUCCUCGUGGGCGGGAGUCCUUGGAUCAGAGUGCCAAGUGGGCCAAUUUUGGUAAGCAGAACUGGCGCUGUGGGA
rnacentral:rRNA from 1 species